rnacentral:rRNA from 1 species
GGGAAUAUUGCACAAUGGGGGAAACCCUGAUGCAGCGACGCCGCGUGAGUGAAGAAGUAUUUCGGUAUGUAAAGCUCUAUCAGCAGGGAAGAAAAUGACGGUACCUGACCAAGAAGCCCCGGCUAACUACGUGCCAGCAGCCGCGGUAAUACGUAGGGGGCAAGCGUUAUCCGGAUUUAUUGGGUGUAAAGGGAGCGUAGGCGGUGAUGCAAGUCAGAAGUGAAAACCCGCAGCUCAACUGCGGGACUGCUUUUGAAACUGUAUGACUAGAUUGCAGGAGAGGUAAGUGGAAUUCCUAGUGUAGCGGUGAAAUGCGUAGAUAUUAGGAGGAACACCAGUGGCGAAGGCGGCUUACUGGACUGUAAAUGACGCUGAGGCUCGAAAGCGUGGGGAGCAAACAGG